GGUUGACCUCGAGAUCAGGAAGGGAUACCCGCGGAACUUAAGGCAUGUCAAUAAGCGGAAGAAAAGAAACCAACAGGGAUUGCCUCAGUAACGGCGAGUGAAGCGGCAAGAGCUCAAAUUUGAAAGCUGGCUCCUUCGGGGUCCGCAUUGUAAUUUGCAGAGGAUGCUUCGGGCAUGGCCCCCGUCUAAGUGCCCUGGAAGGGGCCGUCAUAGAGGGUGAGAAUCCCGUCUGGGACGGGGUGUCCGUGUCCGUGUGAAGCUCCUUCGACGAGUCGAGUUGUUUGGGAAUGCAGCUCUAAAUGGGUGGUAAAUUUCAUCUAAAGCUAAAUACUGGCCGGAGACCGAUAGCGCACAAGUAGAGUGAUCGAAAGAUGAAAAGCACUUUGAAAAGAGAGUUAAACAGCACGUGAAAUUGUUGAAAGGGAAGCGUUUGCGACCAGACUCGCUCGCGGGGUUCAGCCGGCAUUCGUGCCGGUGUACUUCCCCGUGGGCGGGCCAGCGUCGGUUUGGGCGGCCGGUCAAAGGCCUCCGGAAUGUAUCACCUCUCGGGGUGUCUUAUAGCCGGGGGUGCAAUGCGGCCUGCCUGGACCGAGGAACGCGCUUCGGCUCGGACGCUGGCGUAAUGGUCGUAAAUGACC
rnacentral:rRNA from 1 species